GAUGAACGCUGGCGGCGUGCCUAAUACAUGCAAGUCGAGCGAACAGACGAGGAGCCUGCUCCUCUGACGUUAGCGGCGGACGGGUGAGUAACACGUGGAUAACCUACCUAUAAGACUGGGAUAACUUCGGGAAACCGGAGCUAAUACCGGAUAAUAUAUUGAACCGCAUGGUUCAAUAGUGAAAGACGGUUUUGCUGUCACUUAUAGAUGGAUCCGCGCCGCAUUAGCUAGUUGGUAAGGUAACGGCUUACCAAGGCGACGAUGCGUAGCCGACCUGAGAGGGUGAUCGGCCACACUGGAACUGAGACACGGUCCAGACUCCUACGGGAGGCAGCAGUAGGGAAUCUUCCGCAAGGGCGAAAGCCUGACGGAGCAACGCCGCGUGAGUGAUGAAGGUCUUCGGAUCGUAAAACUCUGUUAUUAGGGAAGAACAAAUGUGUAAGUAACUAUGCACGUCUUGACGGUACCUAAUCAGAAAGCCACGGCUAACUACGUG
rnacentral:rRNA from 1 species